rnacentral:rRNA from 1 species
CAUGUCUUUUUGAAUUUAGUAUAAAGUCUAGUCUGCCCACUGAUAUAAUUAUUAAAUGGCCGCAGUAUUUUAACUGUGCAAAGGUAGCAUAAUCAAUAGUUUUUUAAUUGAAGACUAGUAUGAAUGAUUGGACGAGAUAUAGGCUGUCUUAAGAGAAAAAUUAGGUUGAAUUUUAUUUUUUAGUUAAAAAGCUAAACUGAUUUUAAAAGACGAGAAGACCCUAUAGAUCUUUAUAAAAAUAAUAUUUAUUUUUUAAAGUUAUUGUUUUAAAUUUAUAUUUAUUUUUAUUUUAUUGGGGUGAUAUUGAAAUUUAAUUAACUUUCAAUAAUUAUUGAACAUUAAUUUAUGAUUAAUUGAUCCUUUAUUAUUGAUUAAAAAUUUAAGUUACCUUAGGGAUAACAGCGUAAUUAUUUUGGAGAGUUCUUAUCGAUAAAAUAGAUUGCGACCUCGAUGUUGGAUUAAGGUUAAUUUUGGGUGUAGCAGCCUAUAAUAUUAAGUCUGUUCGACUUUUAAUUCCU